rnacentral:rRNA from 1 species
AGCAGCAGCCGCGGGAAUACGAAGGGUGCAAGCGUUAAUCGGAAUUACUGGGCGUAAAGCGUGCGUAGGCGGUGAGUUAAGUCUGCUGUGAAAUCCCCGGGCUCAACCUGGGAAUGGCAGUGGAUACUGGCUCGCUAGAGUGUGUCAGAGGAUGGUGGAAUUCCCGGUGUAGCGGUGAAAUGCGUAGAGAUCGGGAGGAACAUCAGUGGCGAAGGCGGCCAUCUGGGACAACACUGACGCUGAGGCACGAAAGCGUGGGGAGCAAACAGGAUUAGAGACCCGUGUAGUCCAUGUCUCUUAUAC